GACGAACGCUGGCGGCGUGCUUAACACAUGCAAGUCGAACGGAAAGGCCCUGCUUUUGUGGGGUGCUCGAGUGGCGAACGGGUGAGUAACACGUGAGUAACCUGCCCUUGACUUUGGGAUAACUUCAGGAAACUGGGGCUAAUACCGGAUAGGAGCUCCUGCUGCAUGGUGGGGUUGGAAAGUUUCGGCGGUUGGGGAUGGACUCGCGGCUUAUCAGCUUGUUGGUGGGGUAGUGGCUUACCAAGGCUUUGACGGGUAGCCGGCCUGAGAGGGUGACCGGCCACAUUGGGACUGAGAUACGGCCCAGGCUCCUACGGGAGGCAGGAGUGGGGAAUAUUGCACAAUGGGCGGAAGCCUUGUUCAGCAACGCCGCGUGCGGGAUGACGGCCUUCGGGUUGGAAACCGCUUUCGCCUGUGACGAAGCGUGAGUGACGGUAAUGGGUAAAGAAGCACCGGCUAACUACGUG
rnacentral:rRNA from 1 species